ACGGGAGGCAGCAGUGGGGAAUAUUGCACAAUGGGGGGAACCCUGAUGCAGCCAUGCCGCGUGAAUGAAGAAGGCCUUCGGGUUGUAAAGUUCUUUCGGUGGUGAGGAAGGUGGUUGUUUUAAUAGAACAAUCAAUUGACGUUAACUACAGAAGAAGCACCGGCUAACUCCGUGCCAGCAGCCGCGGUAAUACGGAGGGUGCGAGCGUUAAUCGGAAUAACUGGGCGUAAAGGGCACGCAGGCGGUUGAUUAAGUGAGAUGUGAAAGCCCCGGGCUUAACCUGGGAAUUGCAUUUCAUACUGGUCAACUAGAGUACUUUAGGGAGGGGUAGAAUUCCACGUGUAGCGGUGAAAUGCGUAGAGAUGUGGAGGAAUACCGAAGGCGAAGGCAGCCCCUUGGGAAUGUACUGACGCUCAUGUGCGAAAGCGUGGGGAGCAAACAGGAUUAGAUACCCUGGUA
rnacentral:rRNA from 1 species